rnacentral:rRNA from 1 species
GACGAACGCUGGCGGCGUGCUUAACACAUGCAAGUCGAACGGAAAGGCCCUGCUUGCGGGGUACUCGAGUGGCGAACGGGUGAGUAACACGUGGGUGAUCUGCCCUGCACUUCGGGAUAAGCCUGGGAAACUGGGUCUAAUACCGGAUAGGAGCCAUCUUUAGUGUGAUGGUUGGAAAGUUUUUUCGGUGUAGGAUGAGCUCGCGGCCUAUCAGCUUGUUGGUGGGGUAAUGGCCUACCUAGGCGGCGACGGGUAGCCGGCCUGAGGGGGUGGACGGCCACAUUGGGACUGAGAUACGGCCCAGACUCCUACGGGAGGCAGCAGUGGGGAAUAUUGCACAAUGGGCGCAAGCCUGAUGCAGCGACGCCGCGUGGGGGAUGACGGCCUUCGGGUUGUAAACUCCUUUCGCUAGGGACGAAGCUUUUUGUGACGGUACCUAGAUAAGAAGCACCGGCUAACUACGUG